rnacentral:lncRNA from 1 species
CGAAGCUGGCUGCAGGAUGGGAGAAGAGAAACAUGCAGACCAAGUCCUGGUCCUGCGUACAAAGAUGAACACCGGGAGAAGGAACAGCAGAGCCUAGCAAGAGAAUGCAGCCCAGGCUUCAGGAAGAUAUGUUCCCCAAGGGCAACAGCCUCAGUGAGCAGUGAGUGAGCACUGGAGCAGAGAGCAGCCCAGGUCCAUCUUGUGUAUGUGGUGGCAUCAUUAUUCUUGUCCAGACUCCAGAAAACUGACAACUCAUCAUCAGCUGAGAGGGGCCUCACUUGCAGGGCCAGCCCAAGGGGAAAGCAACUGUGCAGGACCAACCUUGAAACCAACAAGAAAAACAGCAAAGAGCUACUGGGAGUUGGCCCAUUGUGGAUUCAGGCUCAAUGCUAACACCACACUUCAUCUUGUCUGUCUUUCAUAGUAAUACAGAGACAGUAUUAUUACUACCCAAUUUCUCAAAUGAGCACACUGAGACUCCAGGAGGUCAUGGGACUAACUUAAGGCCUAGGUGUUGUCACUAAGGAGAGCCAGGCUCCACUCCCAGCUCUAUGGGCCCAUGGUGCCUGAGGUCCAUUAUGUAUGACUCUGGGGCCCGAGCCAUGGCUCUCCUUCAACUGUCCACUCUCUUAUGCAAAGAUGGAAAUCAAGAGUAUGAAGAACACAAAUGUUGGCACUCCUAUUGUGCAAAUCAAUGAGGACAACUCAUCAGCCCCUGGACUUCAAACUGCCUGGUCUUCAGGAGGUAUAUAACCAGCCACCAAUUCAAGGAUCUCUCUCCUUCACGGGUCCAUCUUGUGUAUGUGGUGGCAUCUAAUACCUUUUACAUUGACUCAUCCUGUCCACCCUCCAGUGUCCCCAAGAAGUCCCCAUGAUCACACUCCUGCAUCUUAGCAUGCAACCUCCAAGCGCAGUCCUGGCAACAGUAGGACUAAAAUGAGAAACACAUCAGAGGUGCACUGAGACCCACAAAUCUAUGAAUGACUACCCUGGGGAGGGGGCUGGGAAUCAAUAAUAAAGUGUUCCCCAAACAGUAACCAUGGCAACUCUGGUCACAAGAGGGGUUUUAUGCCUUCUCCAAGUUUUAUGAGGCACACACAGCUCUUUUAUAGACUCAGGCAUUAAUUAUGCUCAUCAGAGGAUGGAGUAUUCCAGUGUAGCGAAGGUUAUUCACCCGCAGGCUUGCUCAGCCCAUAUACAUUACCCAUAAAACUUCAAAGAAGUAAUUAGAAUGGAUCCCCUCUUGGCUUGCUUUAUUAUUUGAUAGUUGAUGAGGUAAGAUACUAAGGUCAUAACGUGAGCUUAAGCGAUGGAAAAGAACAGGAACCUGAGGUCUGAGCAGAGCAUCAGUGUGAAGCAGUGGUGUGUGAAGUUCCACAGAUACAACACGGAAGGAUGAGAAGUAUUUGUCCUUAAGUCUCAAAAUCUAAAGCAGGUGAUAAUGCAAACUCAGGCUAAAUGUCUGCCUUUCUAUGUAACUUUAAUGGGUGCCAUUUGUUCUGAAAUGAUGUCACUGUUGGAUGUUCCUGGUCCCUUGGUAUGUUACCUUCAUACAGUAUUUUCCCUGGCUUCAAAAUAAAGCCGGUGAGCUGUCUCGGUU